rnacentral:rRNA from 1 species
UUGUAUAUGCGAUUUUAUUUUGUCUCCUUAGUAUAAACUAAAAGGAUUUGGCAGCCGAUGAGGUUCUACCGGGGGAACGUGUAUUGUAAUAGAUAGUCCGCUUAGUAGUUGACCCUUUUUAAGUUUGUUAGUGUAUAUCCGGUUUAAGAUUUGUGAUUAGUGUCAACGAGUGUAAUUGUGUACUAUUUAAGCCAGGUCAAUGUGCUGCUAAUAUUGGGGGGUUUAUGCGUUACUUUGUUAAAAUUGUUAUUGUGUAAGGUAAUAGCUGUAUUUAGGACUCGGAAGUAGGUGGGAUGUUUGUAAAUAUUAGUUAGGUUUUCCUAUCGAAUAGGAUUUAGUUGGGGUACACACCGCCCGUCACCCAGGGUGUUAGCUGUG